rnacentral:rRNA from 1 species
AACAUGUCUUUUUGAAAAUAAUUUUAAGUYUAAUYUGCUCCAUGAUUAAAUUAAAUAGCUGCGGUAUAUUGACCGUACAAAGGUAGCAUAAUCAAUAGUUUUUUAAUUAAAAGCUGGAAUGAAUGAUUGAAUGAAAUAAUAAUUGUCUCAAAUUUAUAAAUUAUAGAAUUUUUUUUUUAGUAAAAAUACUAAAAUUUAUUUAAAAGACGAGAAGACCCUAUAGAAUUUAAUAAUUUUAAUUAAAUUUAAUUAAAAAAAAAAUUUAUAAUAAAAUUAUUUGAUUGGGGAAAUUAUUAAAUUAAAAAAAUUUUAAUUAAAUUUUAACAUUAAUUGAUGGAUAUUUGAUCUUAAUAUUUAGAUAAAAAGAAUAAAUUACYUUAGGGAUAACAGCGUAAUUUUUUUAGAGAGAUCAUAUUAAUAAAAAAGUUUGCGACCUCGAUGUUGAAUUAAGAUAAAAUUUUAAUGAAGAAAUUAAAAAUUUUUGG